rnacentral:rRNA from 1 species
CCAGACUCCUACGGGAGGCAGCAGUGGGGAAUAUUGCACAAUGGGGGAAACCCUGAUGCAGCGACGCCGCGUGAGCGAUGAAGUAUUUCGGUACGUAAAGCUCUAUCAGUAGGGAAGAAAAUGACGGUACCUGACUAAGAAGCCCCGGCUAACUACGUGCCAGCAGCCGCGGUAAUACGUAGGGGGCAAGCGUUAACCGGAUUUACUGGGUGUAAAGGGAGCGUAGACGGCGGUGCAAGCCAGAUGUGAAAGCCCGGGGCUCAACCCCGGGACUGCAUUUGGAACUGUGCUGCUAGAGUGUCGGAGAGGCAGGCGGAAUUCCUAGUGUAGCGGUGAAAUGCGUAGAUAUUAGGAGGAACACCAGUGGCGAAGGCGGCCUGCUGGACGACAACUGACGGUGAGGCGCGAAAGCGUGGGUAGCAAACAGGAUUAGAUACCCGGGUA